ensembl:lncRNA
UUGGUGUGUAUCUGCGCAAAUGUUGCGCAUUUGUAACGCGCAUGAAGGCAUCCUUUGAAUGUAUGGCGGCGUCGUUUGUGUGGAUUAUGCGUCAACAUUUCUGUCCUGGUUAUGGAAACGUUUAUGAUUCAUGCGAUUAUAUGUAGACAAUAAACUAGUGUUUAAAAAAACAAAACAAAUGAGAGAGAUGUUUUUUUAAAGAAGUAGCGCUAGAAUUGAGUGCUGUUACUAUACGGAGCUAAAUAGCUAGCUUAGCUUCCUGCAUUAAGGCCUAAUUGUGAGCUUGGCACGUUUUAGGAAGCAACCUUGGGGAUAGAUAUGAGUGUUUAGUUACAUGUUGUAUCAUUUUGAAUUUAGUCGGUUAAUCUGCUUUGAAAUUAUAUAGUGAGGUUCUGCAAACAUGUUAAAUGACCUGAGCAUUGGAUGAUGAUGAUGAUGAUGACCUGCUAAUUUAGACAUUGAUCUCUGAAGGCUUUAUUCUGAAGGUCCACCUUCCUCUGAGCUGAAGCUUUAUCUCCUAGAACAGCAGCAAACAUGACUGGAAUCCAAUCCAGAGAUGAGUCGGUUGGAGACAGUUCUGAUGAUGAACCUCUGAGUAAAAUGGUGAAACCUGGCAAGAAGUGUCCAGAAGAUGCACCCUCGGAUAUCAUGGAAGAUGCUUCACCAAAGAAAACCCUUAAAGAGCCCACCUCUGCUGCGGAUGUUCCAGCAUCCCAGGUUUUCCCAGGGUUUCCUCAGGGUUCUCCAGUUUCCUCCCAGGUCCCACAAAACAAGUGCCCUGGACACAGCUCUGAUGACGAGCCUCUGAGCAAACUGACUGAAUCAAAGGGGGCGAAGCGCUCAAGUAAACAAAAAGAGACUGCUGCGGGGAAGCAGUCAGAAUCUGAAGACGAUCAGCCGCUGACGAUGAUUAUCAAGAAGAAGAAGCAGAAGGCUGACACAGAAGAGCCUGAAGAUGCCAAGAAGACCAGAAGCCCAAAAAAGCGUAAAGCUGUGACGAAGGCCUCAAAGCUCAGAGAUUCAUCACCCUCGCCAUCGCCGUCGCCAGUGAAGGCCACACAGAGAAGAGGACAAAAAGGUAAGGACGAGUCGAAAAAGAAAGUACCGGCACAUUCACCAGCUGUGAACACGACGCCUAAAAGGAGAGGUCGCGCCAAGAAAGAAGGAAAAGCCCCGUGUAGCGACAGCUCGGAUGACGAGCCCUUGAGCGAGCUGCCGUGGAAGAGGAGCGAGCCAGAGAUGAAGCAGGCGGUGGUGCUGGUGGAGAGGAUGUCUGAAAGAGACGUUAAGGAUGCAGUGGCACGCGGACGUGCACACAGCCAAGAGCAGAAAAGUACAGCCAGAGCAGAGUGUGCAGCGGAGGGCUCAGACGAGGAGCCUCUGAGUCAUAAGAUGAAGAGACUGAAAGAGCAGAGCAAGACUGCGAGAGGCAGGAGACCAGCGGCAGAUGCCAGUUCAGACGACGAGCCCUUGGUGAGGAAAGUGAAAGCAGCGAAGGUGAAGGAUAAGUUUAGAAAGAGAGCUAACGGAGAAGAGGACACAGUCAAACAAGACAGAGAGCUGAGCGAGGAGGACGAGCGUCCACACUGAGAGCCUGGCAGUAGUCACACACAACACAACACGUCUCGCACACGAAUUUAACAGAAGAAACGAGAAGAGGACUCGCUUGUUUCACCGUUCUGUGGAUCAGUAGUUCUGUGCUCAUUCCUUUAUUUAUGUAUAGGAAUAACGUCGCAUUUUCUGAACUCCUAAACCCCGAAACGUGAAUCCCUUUCACUCCAUAACACAUUGAAAAGCUUGAAGUAGUUUCUUUUAUAUUGUUUUAGCAUUUUAAAUUUUGUAUGGUCUUAACCAGGCUUCGGCCUUUUACAUCGUGUACGCUGAUGGUUUUUGAUUUGUAUUUUAAAACAAACAAAAAAAAGUCACUAAAUGUUAUUUACAUAGUUUCUAGGAAGGAAAGUGAAAUGAAAUGUGUUUUUUGAUAAUAUUGACGUGUACACAAGUAUAAACGCAGUGGUGUGAGAGAUAAAUGUGGAGAACGCUGUACAGUAGUUUUCUUUUUGUUUUUUGAUGACCGUUGUUUAGUUUCUUGUGAUUUAAUGUGAUUUUACCAGAUCAGAUUGUUGGAAUUCCCAACAAAUGAAAUAUUCCCGCUGUCAAUACAAUCUAAAGGCUUAAAAAAAUAAAUUACAUCAGUGACUUUGUAAUGAAAAUUGUAGGAACUCUGUGGUUAUUGCCUCUCACCGCUUUUUUCUUUACCGAACCAUACCAUUUUGUCACUCGGCUCUAAUAUAAAUGUCAAGCUUUAGCAAAAAGCUAUAUACAGUCCCCUUCGACACUAUUGGAAAGAAAAGGAAAAUUCAUUUGUUUUUGCUGUAGACUUAAGACAUUUGGGUUUGAGGUCAAAAGAUGAAUAUGAGAAGAGAGUUUUGAAUUUUAGCUUUUAUUUCCUGAUAUUUAUAUGUAAAUGUCUUCAACAAUAUAGAACACAGCACACUUUAUAUCAGAUUACAAAAUUUUGUAGGUGAGCAAAAAAUACUGGAACAUGUGACUGACAGGUGUUUCCUUGUUACCCAGGUGUGUCCUGUUAGAUUGAUUGAUUGCUUGCUUAAACAAUAAAUAGCUCUGAGCAUCUACUCUUGGUUUUAGCUUUCAGUUUCUCCUGUGAAGACUGCAUUUGUUGUUAAAAAGGAUAAACUAACAUGAAGAUCACAGAGCUGUCUAUGGGAGAAAAAUCCAUCAGAGUCACUGCACAAACACUGGGCAUAGCCAAUAGAACAACUUGGAAUGUCCUGAAAAAGAAAGAAACCACUGUUGUACUGAGCAACAGACACCACUGAAUGGGUCGGACAAGGAAAAGAACAACAGCUGAUGACAAACAUUGUAAGAACUGUGAAGAAAAACCCAAAAACAACAGUUAGUGACCUCACCAACAACCUCCACAGGGCUGGGGUAAAGGUAUUUCAAUCCACCAUUUGAAGAAAACUUCAAGUGCAGAAAUAUAGAGGCCAUACCACAAGAUGUAAACCACUCAUCAGCAGUAAGAAUCAGAAAGCCAGGUUGGAAUUCACAAAGAAAUACAGACAUGAGCCACAAAAGUUCUGGAACCAAGAUUAAGCUCUUCCAAAGUGAUUGAAAGUUCAAAGUGUGGAGAAAGAAAGGAUCUGCUCAUAAUUCAAAACAUACGAGCUCAUCUGUGAAACAUGGUGGAGGAACUGUUAUGGAUUGGGUUUGCAUGUCUGCUUCUGGAACAGUCUCACUAAUUUUUAUUGAUGAUGUCACUUGUGAUGGUAGCAGAAGAAUGAAUUCAGAAGUUUACAGGAACAUUUGUCUGCCAAUUUACAGAGAAAUGAAUGAAGAUUAAUAAGGAGGAAUUUUAUCAUGCAGCAAGACAAUGAUCCAAAACACACUGCCAACUCAACAAAGGACUUCAUCAGUGGGGGGAAAGUGGAAGGAUUUAGAACCUCCUGAAGAGAGAAACCUCACGACAACAAACAACUGAAAGAAGCUGCGGUAAAAGCCUGAAAAAUCAUCACAAAAGAAGAAACCAACUUCAUGACUUAUCUUUUCCUAUACUUUUGCUUGCCUAAAAAUUGGGUGGUCUGAUGCAAAAGGUUAUGUUGUUUAAACACGUCUAGAUGUAAAUACCAGGAAAUAAAAGCUGAAAUCCUAAUCCCUCAUCUCAUAUCCAUCUUUUGAUCUAAAACCCAAAUGUUUUUGGUGUACAGCACAAACAAAUUAAUUUGCCUUGCCGUUCCAGUAGGUACAGAGGGGACUGUACCACCUGAACUGAUUGUUCUUCUGCUUCUGGACCAUUUGCUAUAUCAGAACUUUCCCGGUUCGAUCCUGAGCUCGGGUUACUGUCUUUGUGGAGCUUUGCAUGUUCUCUGGUUUCCUCUGACUGUCCAAAAAUCCAAAAACAUACCCAUCCGUGGAUGGAUUACACAAAAUUGUGCCUAGGUGUGCGUGACAGUGUGUAUGGUUGGUGCGCUGUGAUGCACAGAUGUACCAUCUCAUGUGUAUCCCCACCUCACGCCGGGCUCCGGUUCCAGGAUAGUGGCUACCGAAAAUAAAUGAUCGAAUUAAUUGUUAGUAUUAUAUCACACAUUAUUAAACUGCACAUACACUAGAGGCUAGGUUUGCUGUGUUAGAAAUCUGAAUGGUUUCAUAUCUAAUUAGAUUGUAGCUAGCGGAGCUGCUAAAGCUUUCUCUUCUAAACUGAGUUUUUUUGUUGACUUUUUUAAAAAAUCCCUCCUUCAAGUGGUUAUAUCACUUAACAAUUAUUAAAUACGCAAGAUGCAUCUUUUAUUUAUCGCAAAACAACACAAUAGUUUGUUAAACUAUAUAAUAAUCAUAAUAAACUGCAGAUAUACUGUAGAUAUUUAGGUGUUUUGCCAUACUGGUAGUUUUUAAAGGUAGUGUUAAAGUUGCUGAAUGUAAUGUAAAGUAAUGUAAUGAAAGCCGACCCCAUCUUUUCUGCAUUAUAGGUAUUAAUACAUCGACAAUGAAGCCUGAGUAAUGUUAUCUCUCAGGGUCUCACUGAUGCUAUAAUAAGGAACUAUUACACACACUCAAAGACAAAUUGGUAGCUGUAUUCAUGAUUUAUAAUUUAAGUAUUUGUAAAUAGUCUGUAAAUCUGUAUUUCCUCUGAAUACCGAAAAUGCGAAAUGGAAAAGCUGCAACGCCUUCUAUUAAAAACAAACAGAAACCUCCAAGAUGCACUAAACUUACAGUUCUGUUGUCUGUCGUUUUGUGUAAUUUGUACUUUGAUUCAACAAUGUGAGCUUAAUUUACUUUUUUUUUUUCCUACAAAGGCAUUUUUUGGGGGAAAAGGGAUGCACUAUGUUCAUGUUCUUUACAGCCGAGACUGUAUUUCACCUGCGUCUUAACAACCACUUCUGAUACUGUGUUACGGAUGUUUCAUCGAAGCAGGCUGAAGAUGGAGAUCAAAUCUGUUUCACUAAGUGUAAUCAACUGAAACGACAAUCACUGAGAAGGUGCAAGAAACUAUAGUCUGGGAUAGAAAGAAAUCAGUCCCAGACUCAAGUCUUCAUACUGUUCUCUGUAUAUUUCUAAUGACCAGUGGUGGUGAUGUUGCGCUUAGUUGAGAAGAAAUCUCAAAUAAUCCUUUUUUCCAGACUUUUAUUAACAGCAUAUAAUCUGAGCUGGAUGCCUAAAUAUUAAACUGUAUAUUUUGUUUUUGAAAUAUGGUGGGGGAGAGGUGAUAUAUAGAUAGGAUAGAGUGCCCUCCAUUAAUAUUGGCAUCCUUGGUAAAUUUGAGCAAAGAAUGCUGUGAAAAAUUGUCUUUAUUGUUUAACGUUUUGAUCUUUUGUUAAAAAAAUUCACAAAAAUACACUGCUCUCAUGGAUAUCAAACAAUUGCGAACACAGCACAGGUUUAUAAAAAAAUGUUUUAAAAAAAUUUUUGUUAAAAAAACAAAAAAAUUUUUGUUAAAUGUAGGUGUGCAACAGUUAUUGGCACCCUUUUAGUCAAUACUCUGUGCUACCUCUUUGCCAAGAUAACCGCUCUGAGUCUUCUCCUAUAAUGCCUGAUGAGGUUGGAGAAUACACGACAAGGGAUCUGAGACCAUUCCUCCACACAGAAUCUCUCCAGAUCCUUCAAAUUUCGAGGUCCACGCUGGUGGACUCUCCUCUUCAGUUCACCCACAGAUUUUCUAUGGGGUUCAGGUCAGGGGACUGGGAUGGUCAUGGCAGGACCUUGAUUUUGUGGUGAGUAAACCAUUUUUGUCUUGAUUCUGAUGUAUGUUUUAUAUCAUUGUCCUGCUGGAAGAGCCAACCACGGACCAUUUUAGCUUUCUGGCAGAGCGAGUAAGGUUUUCAUUUAAUAUCUGUUGAUAUUUGGUAGAGUCCAUGAUGCCAUGUAUCCUAACAAAAUGUCCAGGUCCUCUGGCAGAAAAACAGCCCCAAAAACAUAAAAGAGUCACCACCAUAUUUAACCGUGGGCAUGAGGUACUUUUCCAUAUGGCUACCUCUCUGUGCGCACCAAAACCACCUCUGGUGUUUAUUACCAAAAAGCUCUAUUUUGGUUUCAUCUGACCAUAGAACCCAAUUCCAUUUUAAGUUCCAGUAGUGUCUGGCAAACUGAAAACGCUCAAGUUUGUUUUUGGAGGAGAGUAGAGGCUUUUUUCUUGAAACCCUUCCAAACAACUUGUGGUGAUGUAGGUGACUUCGGAUUGCAGUUUUGGAGACUUUCUGACCGCAAGACGCAACUAACUUCUGCAAUUUUCCAGCUUUGUUGAACAAUUACCUGUUCAUAGUCACCCAGGUGUACUAAAAAUGUAAAAUAUCAAUGAGAAUAUACUUUUUUUUCUCAAAUGAAUUCAUAGGGGUGCCAAUAAUUGUUGCACAACUAUAUUUAACAAAGAUAUAUAUUUUUAUAAACCUGUGUUGUGUUUGCAAUUGUUUGAUAUCCAUGAGAGCAGAGUAUUUUUGUGAAUUAUUUGAACAAAAUAUCAAAAAGUUAAACAAUAAAGACAAUUUUUCACAGCCUUCUUUGCUCAUAUUUACCAAGGGUGCCAAUAUUAGUGGAGGGUGCUGUAGAUACAUUAUUGAUCUCCUGAGAGAAAUUGCAGUGUUACAGUAGUGGUAAAAAAAAAAAAACAUUUUCAGAUAUCAUGAAUACAAUGAAAAAAAUGUGAAACAAAUAAGUAUAGUGCAUAAACAAAACAAACAACAAUAAUCUAGCCAUA